GAAAAGAUUGGCGGAAAUCAUUUCAUGGGAUCUCAUUAGAAUAUUAGACUAUUUUCACAGUUCAACUACACUACCUAUACAUGGAUUCAAAGCUUAUCCUGAGUUAAGAGUAGACCAGUUAAGCAUUUCUUAUAGUCGAGAAGACACAAGCCAGACACACAUUUUUACUCAAAUAAAUAACUAUAAAGGAGAUUGCAGUUCAGAUGUAUGUUUGAAAAGAUUGGCGGAAAUAAUUCAUUUGCAUCCUAUAAGAAUACUAAAUCAUUCCAACAGAUCAACUUCACUGCCUUUUAAUGGAUUUAGAGAUGUUGAUAAUAGUUUGAUCAAUCCUGUAUGUGCUGACAUACCACAUGUGAUAGAUAAAACAAAAUCGGGAAGAAAAAUUAAAGAUAUUGAUGAUAGUUUGGCCGAUCCUGUUGCAGAGGACGCACCACAUGGGAAAGAAGAAACAAGUGAUGGAAG